UGUGAAGUUACUUAAACAACCAGGAGGUUGGCUUAGAAGCAGCCAUCCUUUAAAGAAAGCGUAAUAGCUCACUGGUCUAGUGAUUUUGCGCGGAAAAUAUAACGGGGCUAAAGUAAGUACCGAAGCUGUAGACUUGCACACAACUUAGAUUAUUUAAGUUUAGAAUAUGAGAAACUAAGUUAUAUGUUUAGUUAUAUUUUUACUGAUUUUUAUAGAGUAAAGAUAGAAAUAAAACUUAGUAAAAUCAGUAAAAAUAUUCUUAGACUAAAGUUAAGUAGUUUAAGUUGUGUGCAAGUGGUAGGAGAGCGUUCUAUUUGCGUCGAAGGUAUACCGGUAAGGAGUGCUGGAGCGAAUAGAAGUGAGCAUGCAGGCAUGAGUAGCGAUAAUUAAUGUGAGAAUCAUUAACGCCGUAAACCCAAGGUUUCCUACGCGAUGCUCGUCAUCGUAGGGUUAGUCGGGUCCUAAGUCGAGUCCGAAAGGGGUAGACGAUGGCAAAUUGGUUAAUAUUCCAAUACCAACAUUAGUGUGCGAUGGAAGGACGCUUAGGGCUAAGGGGGCUAGCGGAUGGAAGUGCUAGUCUAAGGUCGUAGGAGGUUAUACAGGCAAAUCCGUAUAACAAUACUCCGAGAACUGAAAGGCUUUUUGAAGUCUUCGGAUGGAUAGAAGAACCCCUGAUGCCGUCGAGCCAAGAAAAGUUUCUAAGUUUAGCUAAUGUUGCCCGUACCGUAAACCGACACAGGUGGGUGGGAUGAGUAUUCUAAGGCGCGUGGAAGAACUCUCUUUAAGGAACUCUGCAAAAUAGCACCGUAUCUUCGGUAUAAGGUGUGGUUAGCUUUGUAUUAGGAUUUACUCCGAAAGCAAGGAAACUUACAACAAAGAGUCCCUCCCGACUGUUUACCAAAAACACAGCACUCUGCUAACUCGUAAGAGGAUGUAUAGGGUGUGACGCCUGCCCGGUGCUCGAAGGUUAAUUGAUGGGGUUAGCAUUAGCGAAGCUCUUGAUCGAAGCCCGAGUAAACGGCGGCCGUAACUAUAACGGUCCUAAGGUAGCGAAAUUCCUUGUCGGUUAAAUACCGACCUGCAUGAAUGGCGUAACGAGAUGGGAGCUGUCUCAAAGAGGGAUCCAGUGAAAUUGUAGUGGAGGUGAAAAUUCCUCCUACCCGCGGCAAGACGGAAAGACCCCGUGGACCUUUACUACAGCUUGACACUGCUACUUGGAUAAGAAUGUGCAGGAUAGGUGGGAGGCUUUGAGUAUAUGACGCCAGUUGUAUAUGAGCCAUUGUUGAGAUACCACUCUUUCUUAUUUGGGUAGCUAACCAGCUUGAGUUAUCCUCAAGUGGGACAAUGUCUGGUGGGUAGUUUGACUGGGGCGGUCGCCUCCCAAAUAAUAACGGAGGCUUACAAAGGUUGGCUCAGAACGGUUGGAAAUCGUUCGUAGAGUAUAAAGGUAUAAGCCAGCUUAACUGCAAGACAUACAAGUCAAGCAGAGACGAAAGUCGGUCUUAGUGAUCCGGUGGUUCUGUGUGGAAGGGCCAUCGCUCAAAGGAUAAAAGGUACCCCGGGGAUAACAGGCUGAUCUCCCCCAAGAGCUCACAUCGACGGGGAGGUUUGGCACCUCGAUGUCGGCUCAUCGCAUCCUGGGGCUGGAGCAGGUCCCAAGGGUAUGGCUGUUCGCCAUUUAAAGCGGUACGCGAGCUGGGUUCAGAACGUCGUGAGACAGUUCGGUCCCUAUCUGCCGUGGGCGUAAGAAGAUUGAAGAGAUUUGACCCUAGUACGAGAGGACCGGGUUGAACAAACCACUGGUGUAGCUGUUGUUCUGCCAAGAGCAUCGCAGCGUAGCUAAGUUUGGAAAGGAUAAACGCUGAAAGCAUCUAAGCGUGAAGCCAACUCUAAGAUGAAUCUUCUCUAAGCUCUCUAGAAGACUACUAGUUUGAUAGGCUGGGUGUGUAAUGGAUGAAAGUCCUUUAGCUGACCAGUACUAAUAGAGCGUUUGGCUUAUCUUUAAUAAAGCAU
rnacentral:rRNA from 1 species